CUCUCCUUCUACACCGAGACCUAGACACACACAGAGAAAAGAAACAAGGCCGCCACCAUCGUUCUAUCCCUCUCACUUCAACCACCGAGACCAGCCACCAUACCCAAUCUUCACUACUCCACAUCAAAUCCUCAUCAAUUUCUCAAGGGAUUUCAAGGGGCUUCAAGUUUUGAGAUUGGGUAAAUUGGGAAGCCAUAAAUCAAGGCUUGUCAUAAUUGUUCCAUAGCAAUUUGUGACUUGUUCUUGUUACUUCUCACUCCUCUUCACCUUUACCUCUUUAAUUGAUUUAUAUUUUUGUUGAUUUGUGGAUGGGUUGUGAGUGGUCUAUUUAGGAAACUAGGGUUUGAACCCUAGCAUGAAUUUAUUGUAAUAAAUAUGUUUUGACUCAAUGGUUUUCAAUUUCGUGUCUGGCAUAUGUUCUAUUCUAUAUUAUUUAGCUUAGAUGCAUGCUUAGGAGCUUGAUUAACUCUUGAAUAUGUAGAUAAGCAUGUCUAGCACAAAUUAGGGGACCUAAUCACUUCUCUAAUUUAUGGCUAGGACACUAGUUUAGAACAUGGUUAGUUACAAUACCAAUUUCAAUUGCCGUAUUGGCUAGCUUGGGAACCUUGAUUCUAGGACUCUUCGCCUUUUGGUGCAACUAGAGGCCCUAACAAGGCUCUACAUUGUUCCAAUUGAGUUUCUAUGACCCUUGAUCCGGAGUAGGAAUACCCUUUAAGGAAUCUAAUGACUCAUGAGCCGUGAAAAGCCUUGGUUACGGUUCUUGAUGCCAUUAUGAAUUGAAUGACCAUUGUCGGAACAUAUUUGAUACCCUAGUGACUUAAUUUCCAUUUCUUGAUUAGUUUCUAUUAUCUUUAUUUUUUUAGUUACAAUUAUUAUUUCAAUUGUCAAUUUUAUUUUUCGCAAUCAAAACCAACUUUCACAAACCACUUUCAUUGUCCAUAUCAUUUGGUUGUGAGCUUCCGCAUUUAUUUGUGGUUCUUUUGACCCAUUUUUAGGCUUGGUUGUUCCGAGCCGGGCAUGUAAAUAGCUUGGUGCUAUUUUUCUAGGUUUAUUUGUUAAUUGUUGGUGACUUAGUAAUCGGCAUAACCAAGGAUUGGAGUUAGCUUUUCAAUCCCCGUGGUACGAUAAUUUCGGGUCCAAAUAUUUCCCCUUUCUUUGAUGACCGUGCCCUUAUUGCGCGUAAGUUGCAUUUAAGCACCAAAUCAAAUGGCACCGUUGUCGGGGAUUAGAGUGUAAUAGUUUUCCUCAAAAUCGUCUCAGCCGAAAUGAGGGCCGAGGGACCUGUGGUUGAAUUAUCCUUCUGAGAUAGCGCGGGCGUGCCAACUAGCGGCCGAAUGGCCGACUGAGGUUUAGAUCUGAUUUGCGCUUGUACCUGACUACUUUCAAGUGAUUGUAGGCCGAGGAAGGAACCCUCUCGGCCGUUAGGUUCUAAUGCCUCUAUUGCAAGGACUUCGGUUAGGCGUUAAUCCUGACCGGGGUCUUCUGUCACGUUCACUUCUUGGGUAAACUCAAAGGUUCAGGUGACAAGCGAGAGAUCUAUCGGGUGAAGGAACUCGCAAAUCACGGUGAAGACGAAUGUGAAGUGAACUCGGUUGUCAAAGCGUUGUGAGAUGACAUGUGUGUGAACAACGAAUCGCAUUGAUCCAAUCCGGACUGGCCGAAAGAGAUCAAUGGACGAUAAUUCUACGUUACGAAAUACUCCUAAGUACGAAAAGUAAAGUGCAUAUAAAGUAAAUAAACAAGAAAGUAAAGUGCUUGAAUGUAAAUAAUUGAAUUAAAACUAAGAAACUAGAAAUGAAAACAAGUUGUAAAAGUUGAAUCGAAGGCAAAAUACCUAUGAGAUAGCAAGAGAAAAGUUUGUGAGUAAAAGUUGUAUAUUGAUUUGUAAUCCCUUGGUUUUUGGUUGUUAGAUCACUUGCAUUAGUUUCUUAGUUUUAGUUAAUUUUUUUGGUUUGUUUAGAUUGAAAAAAAAAAAUUAUUUGUUUAUUUUAGUUUUCUUAUUUUGAUUAUUUUAUACUUGUGUGUUUGUUUGUUGAGACAUUGUGAUUAUUUCUAUCAAAGUGACGGGCCUUGUAUUACUUUGUAGUACAUGUAAGACAGGAGCAUCGAUAGCGAUUGUCACUUGGCUUGACUUAUUUGCUUGCUUUUCAUUAAGUUUCCUAAUUAGUCGUUAGUUUCUUGAGUUGUUUGUUUUCACUUAUUCUUGGCUUUAUUUUCUUAUUUAAUUGUUGUCUUACCUUCUCUUAUUUUAUUUUCUUAUUUAAUUGUUGUACAUACAUGACAUCUGCUGGCCAUAAUCAGCAUUCAUACCUAACCAUAUGAUUUUGUCGGAGUGACUUUAACGGUGUAACCCCCAGAAACACAGCAAGACAACCUUCACCAACAAACCAGCUCCAGGCCGAAAUAUGCCUCAACGCACAGACACGCACCACCCAAAUUCAUCUCUGCAGAAGGGAUCAAAACUCAUCAAACUGAAGCAUAUGUUAGGUCCAUAAUUACCUAGAGAAACCGAGCUAGACAAGGAAGGAGGAGCGGCAGACUAACCAAAUGGAUUCCAAAUGAGUUGAAACUUUGUAGAUCCAUUCUAGACAUCCUAAGUAUCAUUUUUUAUUAAGAGUGUAAGAGCUAGUUUGGAAUGGAAGGCCUUCAAAAAAUUGGUGAAAAUUUCUCCACUAGAAGACAAAAAUUGUAAAACCGGACCUGUACGGAUUCCGGCAGCAUUUUCGGCCACACCACGGUGAACUAGGCUCUGAAAUUUUACCAGGAUGAUCUACACUCAUAAAGGAACAUUUGGUAUGAAGAAACCGAAGGCUAAUCCCGAAGUCUUGGUGGAGAUUGAAUUGAAGGAAGAAAGUGCAAAAACAUGACGAAAUGAGAGUCAACGCCGGUCAACGCCGGAUUCUGCCCAAGUUGGCCGGCCAAGACCAUGUGUGGAGGACAAGGAAGAGCUGACUAGGGUUAGAGAAUUUAGGUGGGAAGACUUUAGGUUUAGGUUAUUUUAAAAUUCAAAAUUUGAAAUAUGACAAGUGGUCCCAUUCUUACACCUUACACCUUUGUCUCCCAUUUAUUACCUUGUUCCCUUACACAAUGGCCCUUCUACCCUUACUUUUUCUCCUCCACCAAAAUAUCUAUAGGCUUUCUAGGUCAUUUUUAUGUGGAGUUAAAGACUAGAUCCACAUUUUGUGCUUACACAUUUGUCAAUCACAUCUAGCCCUUCAUUUCAUUUGAUCUCCACCCUCCAUUCAUCACUUUUGGCCUAUAAAAACACCCUCCCCUCACUUUGGACAUUUUUCAUGUAUUCCUUCAUCCAUUUCAUCUCCUUCCUCUCUCCAUUUCCUCUCCAUUUUCCAUAGUACUUCACCUUGUAGUUCAUAGUUCUUAGCUUUUGUGUAGAGAAAACUGUAUAGCUUCUUGGGUUUUGUUCUAAAACCGAUGAGUCUAUACAUCUUUGAUCAAUCACACCUUAGUUUCAUCAUCUCAAGCCUUUGUUCUUCAUGUAUCUAAGAGUUUUGUGGAUUUGUAUGACAAUUUUGGUUUGAAAGAACCAAAAUUUCCAUACUUUGAAACGUCUCUCACUAGUUUUGCAUCAAGGGGAGCUAGUUUGGUAACCAACCACUUUCUCCACUCUUCCUCUCUUUUGCUUGAUGUUAUUAUGUUUAUGGGUUUGUUGUAUGUAACUAUGGGUUGUGAGUAGAAUAAAUUUGGGGCUAGGCCGUAGCCUUAGCCAAACUCAUGUAUAAAAUAGUGUGAUGCCAUGUUUUUGAUGAAUAUGCAUGUUUUGAAUC